rnacentral:rRNA from 1 species
UGAGUAACGCGUAUGCGACCUGCCCGUUGCAGGGGGAUAAUCGGGAGAAAUCCCGUCUAAUACCGCGUAAUGCCGCGGGGCUGCAUGGCCCUGCGGCCAAAGGGAGCGAUUCCGGCAACGGAUGGGCAUGCGUGACAUUAGCUAGUUGGCGGGGCAACGGCCCACCAAGGCGACGAUGUCUAGGGGUUCUGAGAGGAAGGUCCCCCACACUGGUACAGAGACACGGACCAGACUCCUACGGGAGGCAGCAG